rnacentral:rRNA from 1 species
UGCCAGCCGCCGCGGUAAUACGGAGGGGGUUAGCGUUGUUCGGAAUUACUGGGCGUAAGGCGCACGUAGGCGGAUCAGAAAGUAUGGGGUGAAAUCCCAGGGCUCAACCCUGGAACUGCCUCAUAAACUCCUGGUCUAGAGUUCGAGAGAGGUGAGUGGAAUUCCGAGUGUAGAGGUGAAAUUCGUAGAUAUUCGGAGGAACACCAGUGGCGAAGGCGGCUCUCUGGACCAAUACUGACGCUGAGAUGCGAAAGCGUGGGGAGCGAACAGGAUUAGAUA